ACAGACACUGAAAAGAGAGUUUGACUUAAAACAAGGCUCCUCAAAGAAUGAUCCAAGGAAAAGGAACUUGAUGAUACAACAAGCUGCAAAGAGUCCUAGCAUAAAACUUGUGCUCUACUACCAACGAUCAAGGUGGUGGCUUCCAAUAGAAGGGAUUGC